GGCUCUCACAUCCUGUGAGAAACGCCCAGUACCUUCAUCCUGAAGGCAUUUGUUUGGUGGCGAUAGCGAAGAGGUCACACCCGUUCCCAUACCGAACACGGAAGUUAAGCUCUUCAGCGCCGAUGGUAGUCGGGGGUUUCCCCCUGUGAGAGUAGGACGCCGCCAAGC
rnacentral:rRNA from 1 species